CGCACGGGUGAGUAACGCGUAUGCAACCUACCUUAUACUGGGGGAUAGCCCAGAGAAAUCUGGAUUAAUACCGCAUAACAAUGUUUUAUCGCAUGGUAAGGCAUUUAAAACUCCGGUGGUAUAAGAUGGGCAUGCGUAGCAUUAGUUAGUUGGUGAGGUAACGGCUCACCAAGACAGUGAUGCUUAGGGGGUCUGAGAGGAUAGUCCCCCACACUGGUACUGAGACACGGACCAG
rnacentral:rRNA from 1 species